GUCUACGGCCAUGCCACCCUGAGCAUGCCUGAUCUCGUCUGAUCUCGGAAACUAAGCAGGUUCGGGCCUGGUUAGUACUUGGAUGGGAGACCACCUAGGAAUAUCAGGUUCUGUAGGUG
rnacentral:rRNA from 1 species